GCUGAUGUAGCUCAGUGGUUAGAGCACGAAACUCAUAAUUUCGGGGUCGGUGGUUCAAAUCCACCCAUCAGCACCA
rnacentral:tRNA from 1 species